AAAAGACUUAGUCCUAACCUUACCGUUAAUUGUUACCAGAUAUAUACAUGCAAGUAUCCGCGCCCCAGUGUAAAUGCCCUUAGCUUGUAAUUUUCGAGAUAUAGGAGCUGGCAUCAGGCACACCACUUGACGGUAGCCCAAGACGCCUUGUUCGGCCACACCCCCACGGGUACUCAGCAGUAAUUAACAUUAAGCAAUGAGUGAAAGCUUGACUUAGUCAUGGUAACCCUCUAGGGUUGGUAAAUCUUGUGCCAGCCACCGCGGUCACACAAGAGACCCAAAUUAACUGUAACACGGCGUAAAGAGUGGUACCAUGAUAUCGCGCCAACUAAGAUCGAAACGUAACUGAGCUGUCAUAAGCCCAAGAUACACUUAAGAUCACCCUCAAAACAAUCUUAGCGCCUAUGAUUAAUUAAACUCCACGAAAGCUAAGGUACAAACUGGGAUUAGAUACCCCACUAUGCCUAGCCAUAAAUCUUGAUACUUACCCUACUAAAGUAUCCGCCCGAGAACUACGAGCACAAACGCUUAAAACUCUAAGGACUUGGCGGUACCCCAAACCCACCUAGAGGAGCCUGUUCUAUAAUCGAUAAUCCACGAUACACCCGACCGCUUCUUGCCAGAACAGCCUACAUACCGCCGUCGCCAGCUUACCUUUUCUGAGAGUACAAUAGUGAGCGCAACAGCCCUAACCACGCUAACAAGACAGGUCGAGGUAUAGCCCAUGAAGCGGAAGAAAUGGGCUACAUUUUCUAGAAUAGAAAACCCCUACGGAAGGGGAUAUGAAACUAUCUCCAGAAGGCGGAUUUAGCAGUAAAACGGGACAAUAAUGCCCUAUUUAAAUUGGCUCUGGGGUACGUACAUACCGCCCGUCACCCUCUUCACAAGCUACCGAAAUUAAUAACUUAAUACAACAUAAAGCUAAAGAUGAGGUAAGUCGUAACAAGGUAAGUGUACCGGAAGGUGCACUUAGCAUACC
rnacentral:ncRNA from 1 species